UUGGAGUCAAAAAUGCGUUCAGUCCUCAGUGAGUGUAGCUGAAUGGAGCUGUGUACAGAGUUUAUUCUCUCUAUCAAAAAUCUCUGCUGGAAUUAUUAUUAUUAUUUAUUUAUUUAUUUAUUUAUUUUUUAACUCAUAGUGAAAUAAAUCUGUCCGUCGCUCCGACACGUGCAGGAACAGAAAGGACCGACAGCUGUACCGGGAACACAAGCUAGCCUUAGGUCAACUGUCUGACCAGCAAGUGCGAGAUUUCAUAAAGGAGCACAGGGCCACAAGGAAAGCCGCAAAAAAACCCAAAUGAUUCACGUAGGCGAACAAAUGCAAGUCAUAUUUAAUCACUACCUCAGAAACUGACUACAGAACCACCUCUGGGAGUCGUCUAAUCAAGUCAAGCCUUCUAAAUCAAAGCGGAUAAAAGGGACCACAAAUACUCCUGACCUUAGAGGGCCAUGAAACAACAAUGACACAACAACAAGGCAAAAGUCUGGUGUAAACGUCUGAAGAUCGCAAGCGUGUCAGCCAUCUGUAGCCCAUGAGAGGGUAGGAGGGACAUCCACACUCAGCCUUGUCAAUCAGAGCUGCACUAACCAAUCGUGAGCAUGUGUGGGCUCAUGUAUGCAGAAGAGGGUCGAUGGCACUUUCUUCCGCACUGUGACACAGCGUGAGCAUCAGGUCAAAAACACAGAGGCUGAAUAGACAACAGACGGAAAUAAACAAGCAGUGACACGUUUUCUAUUGGCUCAAAAAAAAAACUAUUUCCCUUUCGGUGCGCUUUCCUACAAGCGACCUGGACCAGCUGAGAUGAUGAGUUCAGAUAAAAGCGACAGCGGUCGAGACGAGACGAGAUUCCUGUUCUCUGACUUGUUGACAUGCUUUUCCAUUCAGCUCGGGUGUAAAGAGUGUUAUUCGUGUUGGCGUCGGCUAAAACAAACAUACAAAACAAAAACUUGAUGAGGCUAAUUUAAAUAUCCGACGAAGGAAGGGAAUCUGACAGGACAGAUACAUGGAUAUUCAAAUCACCACACCCAUCACCUGCAGUUGGAGUGAAAUAAAUCAUCUGGGUUUUCUUCCAACCCAUUAACAUACCAGUCAAUGGACAGGAUACAAUAAACUGACUAUUGCGCACAAACACAAGUAUUCAGGGUGUAUUCCUGACCCGGACUCGGUGUUCCUGGGAUUAUGUUCCUGACUCCGGAUCCGGAGUUCUCAGGUAAACCUCAGAAACAAGCGACAUCCUGAUCUGGAUGAAGUGCUUUCCUGUGAUGAAUGAAUGAAUGAAUGAAUAAAUGAAUGAAUGAAUAAAUGAAUGAACGUUUAUAAAGGGACCACACCGCCCCCUAGUGUCUGAGCUUUCAGCUGCAUGUUGCGCAACAGCACAUUUCAUUAGGCAUUCUGUGAUGAAGUCGAAUCCGAGAUUCAGACGAACAUCAGAUGCUUUCCUUGUGCUGAUCCUCACUGUUUUUACAGGUUUCUUAUACAGAUCAGUGAAAUUGAGCUUUCACUCCUCUCUCACUAUCUAGUGAUGGAUCAGUGGUUAAAGCCUCCGGGUUACUGAAGAUUUGCUCCAGGGGCGGCGUAUCCCGGGCGACCCCAUGACCUUUGACCCCAGUUACAUGACAAGCUGGGACAUGCAAAAGAAAAUGGAAAGUCGCUGUGCUGUAAUACGGACAAAAGGGCUUUCCUUCUUACUCGCACAGACAAACACGUGAUUAAAGACACGAAAGAUUUUGUAUGAGACAUUAUAUAUGCUGCAAUUUUUGUUUCAAUUAAAUGAUAUUUCAUUAAAGUGUUUUUUGGCGUCACGUAUCACGAUAUUGAUCUAAUGACCGUCCCGCUGCGCAGCCCUAAUGAUGUUCCGAACAAACAUCAAGCAAAUAAAUCCACUUAAAUAAACAAAUGAAUUAUUUGAUUCAUUUUGCUUUGCUCAAACUCAAAAACUGCUGUCAGUAAAUUUGACAAAGUUGCUCUUGGGGCUUCUGGGUUAUAAAUACGACAGUGAUGAGUCUCGAUACGUUUCACUCACCGGAGAAAUUCGCUCGU